GAGUUGGUCGUCCAAAGGAUAGGACACCUGGUUGUGGGCCAGAGAAUGGGGGUUCGAGUCCCCUCCAACUCCCCA
rnacentral:tRNA from 1 species